UACGUAGGGUGCAAGCGUUGUUCGGAAUUACUGGGCGUAAAGGGCUCGUAGGCGGCCAACUAAGUCGGAUGUGAAAUCCCCAGGCUUAACCUGGGAACUGCAUCCGAUACUGGAUGGCUUGAAUCCGGGAGAGGGAUGCAGAAUUCCAGGUGUAGCGGUGAAAUGCGUAGAUAUCUGGAGGAAUACCGGUGGCGAAGGCGGCAUCCUGGACCGGCAUUGACGCUGAGGAGCGAAAGCUAGGGGAGCAAACGGGG
rnacentral:rRNA from 1 species